rnacentral:rRNA from 1 species
CCUACGGGUGACAGCAGUGAGGAAUAUUGGUCAAUGGGCGAGAGCCUGAACCAGCCAAGUCGCGUGAAGGAUGACGGCCCUACGGGUUGUAAACUUCUUUUGUCAGGGAGCAAUUGGGUCCACGCGUGGGCUUAGCGAGAGUACCUGAAGAAAAAGCAUCGGCUAACUCCGUGCCAGCAGCCGCGGUAAUACGGAGGAUGCGAGCGUUAUCCGGCUUGAUUGGGUUUAAAGGGUGCGUAGGCGGAAUAUCAAGUCAGCGGUAAAAAUUCGGGGCUCAACCCCGUCGUGCCGUUGAAACUGAUGUUCUUGAGUGGGCGAGAAGUAGGCGGAAUGCGUGGUGUAGCGGUGAAAUGCAUAGAUAUCACGCAGAACUCCGAUUGCGAAGGCAGCAUACCGGCGCCCAACUGACGCUGAAGCACGAAAGCGUGGGGAUCGAACAGGAUUAGAUACCCCUGUAGUC